UACGGAGGGUGCAAGCGUUAUUCGGAAUUAUUGGGCGUAAAGGGCGCGUAGGCGGCCUCUUAAGUCAGAUGUGAAAGCCCGGGGCUUAACCCCGGAAGUGCAUUUGAAACUAAGGGGCUUGAGUAUGGGAGAGGGGAGUGGAAUUCCUGGUGUAGAGGUGAAAUUCGUAGAUAUCAGGAGGAACACCGGUGGCGAAGGCGACUUCCUGGACCAAUACUGACGCUGAGGCGCGAAGGCGUGGGGAGCAAACAGG
rnacentral:rRNA from 1 species